ensembl:snRNA Gm25137 predicted gene, 25137
GUGCUCGCUUUGGCAGCACAUAUACUAAAACUGGAACGAUACAGAGAAGAUUAGCAUGGCCCCUGCACAAGGAUGACACGCAAAUUCUUCGUGAAGUGUUCCAUAUUUUU